AGCGAACGCUGGCGGCAGGCCUAACACAUGCAAGUCGAACGAACUCUUCGGAGUUAGUGACGGACGGGUGAGUAACACGUGGGAACGUGCCUUUUGGUUCGGAAUAACUCAGGGAAACUUGUGCUAAUACCGAAUGUGCCCUUCGGGGGAAAGAUUUAUCGCCAUUAGAGCGGCCCGCGUCUGAUUAGCUAGUUGGUGAGGUAACGGCUCACCAAGGCGACGAUCAGUAGCUGGUCUGAGAGGAUGACCAGCCACACUGGGACUGAGACACGGCCCAGACUCCUACGGGAGGCAGCAGUGGGGAAUCUUGCGCAAUGGGCGAAAGCCUGACGCAGCCAUGCCGCGUGAAUGAUGAAGGUCUUAGGAUUGUAAAAUUCUUUCACCGGGGACGAUAAUGACGGUACCCGGAGAAGAAGCCCCGGCUAACUUCGUG
rnacentral:rRNA from 1 species